rnacentral:lncRNA from 1 species
UGUAUUUGUUUUUUCUUCCUUCAUUCUUUAUAAUGAAGAGUAUCCCCAUGUGGGGUUAUUGGUUUAUUAGAUUAAGUCCACCAUAUCCUUCUAGUGCCACACUCACUAAUAACCUAAGGCAUGGCCAAAAUAAAAGUAGUGUAAAUAUUUACUUUUUGGGAAUAUGUUUAAAAUAUAUUGAAAAUACUUAUAGGUUCACACUUAAAAUAGUUUGUGAUUCGAGAAUAGUAGAGAAGGUCGUUCAAAAAAAAGUUAGGAUUGAUUUAGUCGUCUCGUACAAAACACAUGUAUAUUUCAGUUAAAAUUUAUUGUUAUAGAUAUCAAACAGCUCGAUUUAAAAAAAUUUAAUUUUCGUUGUGCCUGAAAAUACUAUUUUCUAAACCAAUUUUUUCAACACAGGAAUGAUUUAGUCAGUAGAUAGAUUUAUUCUCAUAUUACUCUGACAAUGAGCCAUUGAAGAAUACCC